UGACACGAUUAAUCCUCAGUUUCCUUAUUUGCUGCACCUUCAAAUUCAGCUAUUGGAUUGAAGGUCCUUGAGAAUGGAUACAAGAUGAAGGUGAUAAAAGUGGACCAUGAGACCCACAGUGUUGACACCCCGGAAGAUGUAGACAAGAUAGAGUAGUUCAGGCGGGAAGAAACUUGUCUUGGAGUGAAUGAUGUGUUUAGCAUUUAGUUUCAAAAAUUUAAUUGUAUGAUGGAUCGGAUCAUAAUGAUUAGAGUGAAUGAUGUGUUUAGCUAUUGAUCGGAGUAGCAAGGAUAACUUUAGUCUACUCAUGGUGGAGUUAUAUUUGUACGACAUGAUUAAGCUUUCACAACCAAAUGAUAUGCAAACAGAGUUUAUGUUAACAA